GAUGAACGCUGGCGGCGUGCUUAACACAUGCAAGUCGAACGGAAAGGCUCCUGCUUGCAGGGGUACUCGAGUGGCGAACGGGUGAGUAACACGUGGGUGAUCUGCCCUGCACUUCGGGAUAAGCCCGGGAAACUGGGUCUAAUACCGGAUAGGACCACAUUUUGGAUGGUGUGGUGGAAAGUUUUUCGGUGUGGGAUGAGCUCGCGGCCUAUCAGCUUGUUGGUGGGGUAAUGGCCUACCAAGGCGUCGACGGGUAGCCGGCCUGAGAGGGUGUACGGCCACAUUGGGACUGAGAUACGGCCCAGACUCCUACGGGAGGCAGCAGUGGGGAAUAUUGCACAAUGGGCGCAAGCCUGAUGCAGCGACGCCGCGUGGGGGAUGACGGCCUUCGGGUUGUAAACUCCUUUCGCUAGGGACGAAGCGCAAGUGACGGUACCUGGAGAAGAAGCACCGGCUAACUACGUG
rnacentral:rRNA from 1 species